rnacentral:rRNA from 1 species
AUUGAACGCUGGCAGCAUGCUUUACACAUGCAAGUCGAACGGUAACAGGGAGCUUGCUCCGCUGACGAGUGGCGAACGGGUGAGUAAUGCGUCGGAACGUGCCGAGUAGUGGGGGAUAACGCAUCGAAAGGUGUGCUAAUACCGCAUACGAACUGAGGUUGAAAGGGGGGGACCUUCGGGCCUCACGCUAUUCGAGCGGCCGACGUCUGAUUAGCUAGUUGGUGAGGUAAGGGCUCACCAAGGCGACGAUCAGUAGCGGGUCUGAGAGGAUGAUCCGCCACACUGGGACUGAGACACGGCCCAGACUCCUACGGGAGGCAGCAGUGGGGAAUUUUGGACAAUGGGCGCAAGCCUGAUCCAGCCAUGCCGCGUGUCUGAAGAAGGCCUUCGGGUUGUAAAGGACUUUUGUCCGGGAGCAAAUGCUGGUGGCUAACAUCCACCGGAGCUGAGAGUACCGGAAGAAUAAGCACCGGCUAACUACGUGCCAGCCGCCGCGGUAAAAC